rnacentral:rRNA from 1 species
ACCCGCUGAACUUAAGCAUAUCAAUAAGCGGAGGAAAAGAAACCAACAGGGAUUGCCUCAGUAACGGCGAGUGAAGCGGCAACAGCUCAAAUUUGAAAUCUGGCCUUUACGGUCCGAGUUGUAAUUUGUAGAGGAUGUUUUGGGUACCGCCGCGGUUUAAAUUUCUUGGAACAGAAUGUCAGAGAGGGUGAGAGUCCCGUCUUGGAUCGCGGUAGGGCCUGUGUAAAACUCCUUCGACGAGUCGACUUGUUUGGGAAUGCAGGUCAAAAUGGGUGGUAAAUUUCAUCUAAAGCUAAAUAUUGGCCAGAGACCGAUAGCGCACAAGUAGAGUGAUCGAAAGAUGAAAAGCACUUUGAAAAGAGAGUUAAACAGUAUGUGAAAUUGUUGAAAGGGAAGCGCUGGCAGCCAGACUUGCCUGUAGUUGCUCAUCCGGGCUCUUGCCCGGUGCACUCUUCUGCGGGCAGGCCAGCAUCAGUCCGGGCGGUUGGAUAAAUGCCUGCUAAAUGUACCUCUCCUCGGGGAGGACUUAUAGGGCAGGCGGCAUACAACCAGCCUGGACUGAGGUCCGCGCAUCUGCUAGGAUGCUGGCGUAAUGGCUGU